GGAGGGGUGGCUGAGUGGCCGAAAGCACCGGUCUUGAAAACCGGCGACGGGCGACCGUCCCAGGGUUCGAAUCCCUGCCCCUCCGCCA
rnacentral:tRNA from 2 species